UACGUAGGUGGCAAGCGUUAUCCGGAAUUAUUGGGCGUAAAGCGCGCGUAGGCGGUUUUUUAAGUCUGAUGUGAGAGCCCACGGCUCAACCGUGGAGGGUCAUUGGAAACUGGAAAACUUGAGUGCAGAAGAGGAAAGUGGAAUUCCAUGUGUAGCGGUGAAAUGCGCAGAGAUAUGGAGGAACACCAGUGGCGAAGGCGACUUUCUNGGUCUGUAACUGACGCUGAUGUGCGAAAGCGUGGGGAUCAAACAGGAUUAG
rnacentral:rRNA from 1 species